UGGAAGCUGUACUCAGAUGCCCCAGGACUGUUACUGCAAAAACACGAGGCGUGAAACACCCUUUCCAUGCUCCGUGUCAGCCUGGGUUCCAGAAUGCACGUUUGUCAGACACCUGAGCUUCUGCGCUUUGCCUCCGGCUCCCUCCUCCCUCCCUGCUUCCUUCCACUGUGCCAGGUCCCUCCCACUACAUUUGGCUCCCUGAAAUAUAGUCUCAUUUCACUGCCAGGCCUCUGUGAUUUACUGCGCGUGAGCAUCACCGCGGAGCAAGGAAGACAUUCUUCAUUUUUCUAUGUGACGCACGAGGAGCCAUAAAAGUUGAAGAUGAGUGCUUGUGAGCCUAACGACACAUGUCCCAUCCCGUCAAGGAUUUUGAAGACUAGGUCCCCAAAGGUGAUGUGGGCCUUGGCUCUCUCUCUCAGGAUUCUUGCCAUUGGAACCCAGCCACCAUGUUAUGAAAAAGCCCAGGCAGCAAUGGGAGGCCCUGUGUGGAUGUUUCAGCCAAAAGCCUCAGCUGAAGUAUCAGCCAACGGUUAGCAUCGACCAUCAGUUAUGUGGGUGAAUGAACCUUCAGAUGAUUCCAGCCCCCAGUCUUCAAGCCACCCUACUGAUGCUGAGUGGAGCAGAGAUAAGCUGUUCCCACUUCGUCCUGCCCAAAUUACAGAGCUGUGAGCAGAAUAAGUGUUAUCAUUGCUUUAAGUCUCUAAGUUUUGGAGUAAUUUGGAACACAUGCAUGUUAGAACCUUUGCAGUAUUUACCUGGUUUGGAUGGUGACAGAUUUUCUAAUAAAGUACUACAUUCGAAUCUGCGGAAAAUGUAAAUAAUGCACUAGUUUUAGUUUAUGACUUGUAUCAAUUAUAAAAAUUAUCUUCAUAGAUUAGUAUCUAGAAAGUAGGCUUCAUAUAUACAUAAAAAUGAAUGCAUGUGAAAUUGAAAGCUGUUUUCCAGUAAAAACUACAGAAAGGACUUAUAAUUUUUGGAUCUGCUCAUAGUUGCUUGGGAGAAGCCUAGGGGUCACCAGUAGGCUAUGGACGAUUCAUUGUGAAACAACAAUCAAAAUUGAUAGCUCUCAAAACAAGACCCCUAUCUUUGGCCUCUAGUAAGAUCUCCAUUCACGAAUCUCUACAAUCUCUCCCUUCCUGCACUUUCUAUCGUACUUUGUCUUUAUCGUAUCGUAAUCUCAAACAAAAAAGGAAAGUGCCCAGAAUAAGAUGAAAAACUUACAUGUAGCCAUUGCCGCAAAUACACAGAUUAGCAUUUAACCAACUUUAUCGCGUAGCUGAAAUGUCUUUCAAGAGCUAACAUUACAGACAUAGUUCUAGCCUUCUUUGGACUCUUUUGACCUCAUUUUCCUCUUUUUCUUUUCACCAGAGAGAGCUACGCACCGUCCUGAAACUGGUGUUUCCUUCCCAUCCGUGUUCUAUCUCAGUGUUUACCAGCGUGUUCUAGAACAUUCCAACUGUACUGAGCUCGAGGCCCAGCACCCAACUCAAAGAGCAACCAGGGAAAUCAGUGCACAGUGUCUGCAAAGCGCACAGCUAGCUGAAAUGCUGACUCACAUGGUGGCUAGGGCACAGGCAGAGGGUAGCGCUUCCGAUUGUUCCUUUAGAGAAUUGCUGCAUUUGUAAGUGAGGUUUGAGCAGCACUUACACGCAGAUAGUUUUGCUGACUGACAAGAAGAUGUGGCAGCUUUUAGGGUGAUAGAGGCUCUAUCCAGAAGCUGAGGCCAGCUUUCGUGAGGACAUGUGUGAGAUGCUGGGUGAGCCGUGCUGCUUCAGAACCCAGACGACAAAAUUUCGGAGAUCUAAACGUAUCCAGGGAAGUAGAAGAAAUCACUCCAGGAGAGGGCACAUUCCCUAUUACAAAUGGGAAUGCAUGAUGAUAGGAAACAAUGUAAAGCUCAGGGUUCCUCAUCUCUACAAGGCUGCUGCAAAACGACUGGCAAUGCCAAUCCAGAAAAUGCUGCCCUCUGCAUGUCAAAGAGGAUCUUCUGCCUCUGACAACUCAAAGGGAAAGGAGAGAGGGGUGAAGAGCAUCCCUUGCAGAUGGUAGCCAGAGAUGCCUCCCAGGGUCCUUUGCUUCCUCCCCCAGCAGGGAUCAACAGGUCUUCCACCGCAUCAUAAAAGCUAAGAUGUGCUGGCUCAGAGGCCUUCAUAAUUUGAUCACACAAUUACUAGGAGGGAAGGGUCGGUGCUUUAUGGCCAUCAGCUGCGUGGGCACCCUUUCCAUUACCAUCAGUGCUGGGUCAUAAUGAAAAAUGGGCAUGAUGCUAUUCAUUUGAGAGAUCUUUAAGGAUGAGGCUUUCUGGGCUGGUUUCCUGAUGGAUUUUUUUUGGUAAUGUCACAGUAUUCUGCGAGGCCCUCACAUGCCUCUUGCUUUACCUCCCUUGGAGAAUAAACGAACUUCAAAGGACACCUGCUUCUGAUUUAUGGUUCAGCCCAGGCCCUUGGCUUUGGCUCUUUCUCCUUCCAAACCAAGGGCUUUCAGGAUGAGAGGGCUGUGGGACUCAGCGACUCUGGGUGAGGGUGCUGGGGCAGUGCCAUCCUCCACCCUGCCGCCUGGUGGGGUUCCCGCCCUUGGCUGGACCUCCAGGCUUGCUUCCUUCCUCCCAGCUUCCUGCAUGGGGCUCCAGCGGCUGCCUGCUCAGUGGAAGAAAGUGCUCUGGGAGGAGGGAGGUCUGGUCUUCAGUCAGGGCUUCAGGUCCCGUGAGAACUUCCAAACCUGCUUGGAGGCCCUUUGUAGGGGCGUGUGGGAUUCCCAGUGUCUGCAGAGAAGAGGAGAC
rnacentral:lncRNA from 1 species